rnacentral:rRNA from 1 species
AUGCCAGUCAUUGCUCUGAAGUUGGAUUUUCACAAAGCAUUUGACAGUGUCAGUUGGUGUUGUUUACAAAAAAUCCUUGCAGGCAGAGGAUUUCCCCGAGUGUGGAUGAGCUGGAUUCACACACUCCUGUCAACUGGCAGCUCCAGAGUGCUUCUCAAUGGUGAGUUGGGUGCUCCCAUUCUGGCAAAGAGAGGUUUUCAGCAAGGGGAUUCUCUGUCCCCGUACCUCUUCAUCCUUGUAGCCGAUGUGCUUCAGAGGAUGUGUUGCUAG